AAGGAAUCUGCCUCUCAGAACUUAAAAUGAGAUCUGAAAUUCAUUCACAUCAGUAUUGAAGUAUCUUCAAGUGUUUUAUAGUUUUAGUUCUUACAUUUAUGCCUGGAUCCAGCUUGAGUUAAUACGAGUCCAUGGAGUAACAAAGGGAUGCAAUUUCAUUCGUUUGCAUGCAGUUUAUUUCUGGAUUGUCGGGUUUGGCCAGCAAACCUCGAGACGGCAAAUGAAAAGAUUACUCCAGACACCUCAGUGGGAGAAAGGAGAAACUGGGGACCAGAAGUUCUAAGACAAAAGGCCUCAAGCCAAGCUUCAUCUCCGCUUUUAUUAGGGUCUUAUCAAUACACCAAGUGCAGUGCCAAACAAGGAGGCAAGCAGUUCGUGAGGUCAGCUCUCACUCCAGCUCCGCUGAGCUCCUGACAAGCCAACUCUAAAAUAUGGAGAUUAGCCUGGAUUAUCUAGGUGGACUCAAUGUAAUCACAGAGGUUCUUAAAAAUGGAAGAAGGCGGAUGCAGAGAUCAGAGAAAAUAUGGAGACAUGGGACCGUGAGCUAACGUAGGCGGUUUUGCGAGGCUGCUGGGCAGUGAAGAUGAGAGCGCUCUCCUAGGGCUUUCCCGAAGGAAUGCAGCCUGGCUGGCUCCUUGAUUUUAACCCAGUGAGACCUGUAUCCGAUUUCUGACCUACAAAAAGAUUUAUCCACUCAUACCCACCUGCUCCAAUGCAGAAACAUCAUCCCAACAUGCUUCCUGAGCAGGAGGAGCUUUGAACCCUAGAGCAUGUGGGAGGUCUCUAAGCCAGUGUAAAGCGGGGAGUGUAUCAAAGUACCGUCCGUCACUAUGGGGAGGCGCUGCGGGACUGGGAUUUCUCCUUGACAAUACGGACCUGGAACUGACCUCGGUGAAGAUCUGCCAUUCCUGUCCUCAUCUGUGGCGUAUCUUAACCAAACUGAGAGGUGCCACAUCCCACAUACUGUCUUUCUGCUACUGCUCUCUCACUUUGUCUCCUGACAUGGGCCAAACCACGGCCAACGGCAGAUCUUACCUCACGUACUCGGUGUUAAUGAUGCUGGCUAACUGAAACUCUUAAAUAUUACACUGUUUCUGAAGCACAGUUUGGAAAUUGUAGAAAUUAAUGAUUCUUUUUGUUCUCUUCGUAUUAACAAUAUGAUACUUUGUGACAUUAUGACAUUAACUGAGAUCCUGAUACAAACUGAGUGUGCUUCCUCCCAGAUACAGAUCGUGAGGAUUUAGCUUGGCUGGGUGACUGACUAAUAAAAAAAAAAAAAAAAACAAAAAACAAAAAAAAAAAAAAACGGGACUUCCUUUCAUAGAGCAGUGGGCUCCAGGGCAGAACUAGAAGGGCUGCACAAAGAAGGAAAAGCCUGGCCUUAAACUCUGUCACACCUCCGUGUCACCUUCAGUACCUCCAGUGUCUCUGUGUGUGUGUAUUUUACAGGAGAUGGGAUGACAUUUUUAAGAGUUAACAUGUACAUACAUAGUCCAUAAGAUGUUGAAACUCUAUUUUAUAGAGAAGUCAAGGCUGUAGAUCAGAAACAGAAAUGGAGCUUUAACAUACAUAUGCUGGGCUUUCCCUAGGCAUCCUGAACCAGAGUUUACAGAGAAGAAGCUGAUGGAUAUCUCUCUCUUAAAUGUUCUACUGAUAUUUCUAAACAUUUUUUUAAAAAGAUUUUAUUUAUUUAUUUGACAGAGA